CCCGGUGGCAAUACUGGAGGGGCCACACCCGAUCCCAUUCCGAACUCGGAAGUUAAGCCCUCCAAGGCCGAUGAUACUGCGGAGAUUCCUCCGUGGGAAAGUAGGUAGCUGCCGGGU
rfam:Candidatus Desulfofervidus auxilii strain HS1 genome.